rnacentral:rRNA from 1 species
UCGGCCUCAGAUUGGUAGGACUACCCGCUGAACUUAAGCAUAUCAAUAAGCGGAGGAAAAGAAACUAACAAGGAUUCCCCUAGUAACGGCGAGUGAAGAGGGAAGAGCCCAAGAUUGAAAGCUGGCGUCUUUGGCGUCCGCAUUGUAAUCUCAAGAAGUGUUUUCCGCUUCGGACCAUGCCUAAGUCCCUUGGAAAAGGGCAUCAUAGAGGGUGAUAAUCCCGUACAUGGCAUGGAGCGCCCGAAGCUUUGUGAUACACUUUCUAAGAGUCGAGUUGUUUGGGAAUGCAGCUCAAAAUGGGUGGUAAAUGCCAUCUAAGGCUAAAUAUUGGGGAGAGACCGAUAGCGAACAAGUACAGUGAUGGAAAGAUGAAAAGAACUUUGAAAAGAGAGUUAAACAGUACGUGAAAUUGCCAAAAGGGAAGGGUAGGAGGUCAGAGAUGCGGUCUGGGAUUCAGCCUUGCUUUUGCUGGGUGUUUUUCUCAGAUUGCAGGCCAACGUCGGUUUUGGGCGCUGGAGAAGGGUGGAAGGAAUGUGGCACCUCUCGGGGUGUGUUAUAGCCUUCUACUGGAUACAGUGACCGAGACCGAGGACAGCAGCGUACUCGCAA